rnacentral:misc_RNA from 1 species
UUGACUGCAAUUAGACUACACAAAACACACAACCAAUACAGGAGGAGGCAACCCAUAAUCAAAAGAAAGCAAAGUGAAUCCAAGUUUUUUCACAUCUACCACAGAGUGUGUGCGUAUAUAUAUAUAUGAACAUACAUAAAUAUAUCUGCAGUUUUUGAAGCCUAUCUUCAAAUGAUAAGGACCUGGCUUUAUUCCUUGUGAUAAUUCACUUUAUCUUCCCACCAUCUUCAAAAGGGCAGCCCUAGUUUGAGAGAUGUAUCGGAGCUAUCAUCCCCAAGAGGAGGGCCACUGCUGCAGCUGCAGAUGUUAGUGACAGAUUCCGAUGACAUGCCUUCUUCCUGUUGGACAGCGACGUCCGACUCCAAAUGCACUGGCCUUUUCCCUUUGCACCAGAAAGUAGUCAUCUUCUGUUUUAGCCGUUUAUUCUCUUCUAGUAGUUGAGCUCCCUUCUUUUCAAGCAUAGAGAUCUCAUUCAUUAUCUUAUCUCCCUUAGUUUCAAGCACACGCGUAAGUCCAGCUUCAAGCAGUUUUUCCAAUUGCUGCAAUUCCUCUAGGUUUAAUCCUUGCAGAUUCUCUCCCCUCAUCUGCCUUAGUUGAUAGGUCUUUUCAGCAACUUCUUUGGUCAACCGGGCGCGAUUAUUAUUCUCUAACUCCAAUUCAAGUGAUGGUCGGUCCAGUUUGUCGAGGUUAUUGGAAUGCAGAUUAUACCUUGCAAUUAUGUCCUUCAUGCUGGAGCUGCAAUACUCAAAGAGCUUGCCAGUAGCAGAGAAAAUGAUAAGAGCAACCUCAGCAUCGCAAAGAACAGAAAGCUCUUCAGCUUUCUUGAAAAGCCCUCGUCUCCUCUUAGAGAAGGUCACUUGCCUGGCUGUGAUGUUGUCAAU